UUUUUUUUUUUUUCAGUUGAAAGUUGAAGGCCUAAUCUUUCACUCACGCUGUUAUGUUUUGUGAUUAUGAUGACUCUUUGGAAAUGCCUGUGAAUCUAAAUUCACCACAGCUAUGUUUAUGGCUUUAUUGCUACUGUCUGUGGCAUCUGUAAAUGGUCACAAAAGCAUUCUGAAGAACACGUGGAAAGAAUAAAUGAGGAUUAAUUUCUUACUUCGGAACCAGUGUGGAAUGCCACUGUUUUCUCAGUCUUGCUGUGUUGCCUUCAUAAACCCCAUUAAGAAAUUUUGGCUCAUCACCCUGGGCUCUGUUCCUCAUGGAUUUCUCACAGAGUUCUGCAACAGAAGAAUCCUGAAAGCAGUGUAAUGAAGUAGAAGGACAUGACACUAAAUUUCAAAGGUAGCUGAAUCCAGACUUUACAUUAAAUUAGUUAUACUUGUCACUUCCUUCGUAAAUUAAACUAUGGAAAGGUUUUGUCAUGACUCCUUUUGAAUAUCAUAUGUCAGUUUUGCAUCUUGG
rnacentral:lncRNA from 1 species